UGGCAUUAGACUUCGCUAACUUUACUGCGAAGAGAGAGAUAGCACAUGAGACAAAACUCAACCGUCUCUAGACAUAUAUCCCGGCUAUCACUCGAAGAACUGAGGCACUAUAUGAAACAACAUGAUGUUUUUUAAAACAAAAAAACUCUCACUGCAUGCUACUUCCAUACGGCUUUCUCUGUUUUUGCAGCUAGUCAGUUAGCUAAGUCUAAUGUCAUAGGGCCAUUAGCUAGAUCUCUAACCUCUGGUCUGCGACGCAGUAGAGAGAAAUAUUAAUAGCAUUUUCUAACACUUCGACAGUCAGGAGCUUGAGAGACAAAAAAAAAAAAUAGGGAAACCACACAAAAAUUCCCUACAAAUUUUCCACUGUUAACAGAACCUUAUAAAGUUUAUAAUAUAAACUGAAGACAUAAAACUUCAUAAGACCUCCCAAAAUGUCUUGCUUUAAAGAUGGAAAAUACUACGCCCUCAUAUCUUCUCCCAGUGGGGAUAAGAAGUUUCUGAUGGGCCUUACAGAGCCAGAGAUCACGUUUUCCAAUAUUCUUUUCAAAGCCAAAAAUUUUGGAAUCAAAGGCGUAUAUUUAUUGAGUGCUGAGUAUAAUGCAAUCCUCGAAAACAAAAGUGCCCUUUGCCAUGCGCUGAUGGAAAACCAUACGAUUAUAGUGGGGCAAUACACGAACCAAUGCACAAUCAGAGAGAAAAGUAUGGACUCUGACUUGGAACUCACUACUGAUGAGAGGAAGGCGCUCAAGCUGUUUCUGAAGGCGUUUGUCAGUCAGUUUGGAAGUCAUUUCGAAGGCCCCCUAAGCAGCACAGUUAGUGUCUGAAACCGAAUUGGAAUGAAAUUCCCAGAAUAUUAAUAACAAUAAAAGAGAAGAUUGUUAAAAAAAA